AGCGAACGCUGGCGGCAGGCUUAACACAUGCAAGUCGAGCGCCCCGCAAGGGGAGCGGCAGACGGGAGAGUAACACGUGGGAACAUACCUUUUGGUUCGGAACAACUGAGGGAAGCUUCAGCUAAUACCGGAUAAGCCCUUACGGGGAAAGAUUUAUCGCCGAAAGAUUGGCCCGCGUCUGAUUAGCUAGUUGGUGAGGUAACGGCUCACCAAGGCGACGAUCAGUAGCUGGUCUGAGAGGAUGAUCAGCCUCACUGGGACUGAGACACGGCCCAGACUCCUACGGGAGGCAGCAGUGGGGAAUAUUGGACAAUGGGGGCAACCCUGAUCCAGCCAUGCCGCGUGAGUGAUGAAGGCCUUAGGGUUGUAAAGCUCUUUUGCCCGGGAAGAUAAUGACGGUACCGGGAGAAUAAGCCCCGGCUAACUUCGUG
rnacentral:rRNA from 1 species